rnacentral:rRNA from 1 species
AACGAACGCUGGCGGCAGGCCUAACACAUGCAAGUUGAACGCUGUAGCAAUACAGAGUAGCGCACGGGUGCGUAACGCGUGGGAAUAUGCCCUUCACUGCGGAAUAACGUUUGGAAACGAACGCUAAUACCGCAUAACGACUCCGGUCCAAAGAUUUAUCGGUGAAGGAUUAGCCCGCGUUAGAUUAGCUAGUUGGUGAGGUAACGGCUCACCAAGGCGACGAUCUAUAGCUGGUCUGAGAGGAUGAUCAGCCACACUGGGACUGAGACACGGCCCAGACUCCUACGGGAGGCAGCAGUGAGGAAUAUUGGACAAUGGGGGCAACCCUGAUCCAGCCAUGCCGCGUGAGUGAAGAAGGCCUGGUUGUAAGACUCUUUCUAGAUGUAAAGAUAAUAGACGGUAACAUCAGAAGAAGACCCCGGGCGUAAACUUACGUGCCAGCAGCCGCGGUAAU